GACGAACGCUGGCGGCGUGCUUAACACAUGCAAGUCGAACGAAGAGCGAUGGAAGCUUGCUUCUAUCAAUCUUAGUGGCGAACGGGUGAGUAACGCGUAAUCAACCUGCCCUUCAGAGGGGGACAACAGUUGGAAACGACUGCUAAUACCGCAUACGAUCUAAUCUCGGCAUCGAGGAUAGAUGAAAGGUGGCCUCUACAUGUAAGCUAUCACUGAAGGAGGGGAUUGCGUCUGAUUAGCUAGUUGGAGGGGUAACGGCCCACCAAGGCGAUGAUCAGUAGCCGGUCUGGGAGGAUGAACGGCCACAUUGGGACUGAAACACGGCCCAGACUCCUACGGGAGGCAGCAGUGGGGAAUCUUCCGAAAUGGGCGAAAGUCUGACGGAGCAACGCCGCGUGGGUGAUGACGGCCUUCGGGUUGUAAAGCUCUUUUAAGCGGGAAGAAAGGCCUUCUUGCAAAAAGUGGGAAGGAUUGAGGGAACCGGAAAAAAAACCCAGGGCAAACUCGUG
rnacentral:rRNA from 1 species